rnacentral:tRNA from 3 species
GCCCAGAUGGCGGAAUUGGUAGACGCGUUGGUCUCAAACACCAAUGCCGAAAGGCGUGCCGGUUCGAUCCCGGCUCUGGGUACGA